rnacentral:rRNA from 1 species
CCUACGGGGGGCAGCAGUGAGGAAUAUUGGUCAAUGGGCGCAAGCCUGAACCAGCCAAGUAGCGUGAAGGAUGACUGCCCUACGGGUUGUAAACUUCUUUUAUAAAGGGAUAAAGUGAUGCACGUGUGCCUUUUUGUAGGUACUUUAUGAAUAAGGAUCGGCUAACUCCGUGCCAGCAGCCGCGGUAAUACGGAGGAGCCGAGCGUUAUCCGGAUUUAUUGGGUUUAAAGGGAGCGUAGAUGGGUUGUUAAGUCAGUUGUUAAAGUUUGCGGCUCAACCGUAAAAUUGCAAUUGAUACUGGCAGCCUUGAGUACAGAUGAGGUAGGCGGAAUUCGUGGUGUAGCGGUGAAAUGCUUAGAUAUCACGAAGAACCCCGAUUGCGAAGGCAGCUUACUAAACUGCCACUGACAUUGAUGCUCGAAAGUGUGGGUAUCAAACAGGAUUAGAUACCCCUGUAGUC